CCUACGGGCGGCAGCAGUGAGGAAUAUUGGUCAAUGGACGGAAGUCUGAACCAGCCAUGCCGCGUGCAGGAAGACGGCUCUAUGAGUUGUAAACUGCUUUUGUACAAGGGUAAACCUGAAUACGUGUAUUCAGCUGAAAGUACUGUACGAAUAAGGAUCGGCUAACUCCGUGCCAGCAGCCGCGGUAAUACGGAGGAUCCAAGCGUUAUCCGGAUUUAUUGGGUUUAAAGGGUGCGUAGGCGGAUUGAUAAGUUAGAGGUGAAAUGUCCGGGCUUAACCCGGGAACUGCCUCUAAUACUGUUGUUCUAGAGAGUAGGUGCGGUAGGCGGAAUGUAUGGUGUAGCGGUGAAAUGCUUAGAGAUCGUACAGAACACCGAUUGCGAAGGCAGCUUACCAAUCUAUCUCUGACGUUGAGGCACGAAAGCGUGGGGAGCAAACAGGAUUAGAUACCCUUGUAGUC
rnacentral:rRNA from 1 species